UUCUGGUGAAACACUGAAAGAUCCCCGGAGUGGGGAGACCCUCACUCAAGUCUCGGGAUGACGCAACCCCCCAAGAACUCACACAAGACC
rnacentral:pre_miRNA from 14 species